GACGUAGGGCGCGAGCGUUGUCCGGAUUUAUUGGGCGUAAAGAGCUCGUAGGCGGCUCGUUGCGUCGGCUGUGAAACCCGCAGCUCAACUGUGGGCUUGCAGCCGAUACGGGCGGGCUGGGAUUCGGUAGGGGAGACUGGAAUUCCUGGUGUAGCGGUGAAAUGCGCAGACUAUCAGGAAGAACACCAAUGGCGAAAGCAGCUCUCUGGGACGGUACUGACGCUGAGACGCGAAAGCCGUGGGGAGCGAACAGG
rnacentral:rRNA from 1 species